rnacentral:rRNA from 1 species
GACGAACGCUGGCGGCGUGCCUAAUACAUGCAAGUCGAACGCUUAUUUCCUCACGUGUCCUUGCUCUCAAUUGGAACGAGGAGUGGCGGACGGGUGAGUAAAACGUGGUUAACCUAUCCAUCAGAGUCGGAUAACACUUGGUAAUAGGUGCUAAUAUCGUAUAACAGUUUAUGCCGUAUUGCAUAAGAGUGUUAGGCGCUUUCGGGUAUCGAUGCUGGCUGGAUUCGCGGCGCAUUAACUAGUUGGUAAGGUAACGGCUCACCAAGGCCACGACGCAUAGCCGACCUGAGAGGGUGAUCGGCCACACUGGAACUGAGACACGGCCCAGACUCCUACGGGAGGCAGCAGUAGGGAAUCUUCGGCAAUGGGCGAAAGCCUGACGGAGCAACGCCGCGUGAGUGAAGAAGGUCUUCGGAUCGUAAAACUCUGUUGUUAGGGAAGAACAAGUGCGUAAGUAACUAAACGCGCCCUGACGGUACCUAACCAGAAAGCCACGGCUAACUACGUG